UUUUAAAUUUAGAGUUUGAUCCUGGCUCAGGACGAACGCUGGCGGCGUGCUUAACACAUGCAAGUCGAGCGAUGAAACUUCCUUCGGGGAGUGGA
rnacentral:rRNA from 1 species